GAUGAACGCUGGCGGCGUGCCUAAUACAUGCAAGUCGAGCGAACAGACGAGGAGCUUGCUCCUCUGACGUUAGCGGCGGACGGGUGAGUAACACGUGGAUAACCUACCUAUAAGACUGGGAUAACUUCGGGAAACCGGAGCUAAUACCGGAUAACAUGUUGAACCGCAUGGUUCAACAGUGAAAGACGGUCUUGCUGUCACUUAUAGAUGGAUCCGCGCCGCAUUAGCUAGUUGGUAAGGUAACGGCUUACCAAGGCAACGAUGCGUAGCCGACCUGAGAGGGUGAUCGGCCACCCUGGAACUGAGACACGGUCCAGACUCCUACGGGAGGCAGCAGUAGGGAAUCUUCCGCAAAGGGCGAAAGCCUGACGGAGCAACGCCGCGUGAGUGAAGAAGGUCUUCGGAUCGUAAAACUCUGUUAUUAGGGAAGAACAAAUGUGUAAGUAACUAUGCACGUCUUGACGGUACCUAAUCAGAAAGCCACGGCUAACUACGUG
rnacentral:rRNA from 1 species